UGGGGAAUUUUGGACAAUGGGGGCAACCCUGAUCCAGCCAUGCCGCGUGCGGGAAGAAGGCCUUCGGGUUGUAAACCGCUUUUGUUAGGAACGAAAAGGUAUCUGUGAACAACAGGUAUUGCUGACGGUACCUAAAGAAUAAGCACCGGCUAACUACGUGCCAGCAGCCGCGGUAAUACGUAGGGUGCGAGCGUUAAUCGGAAUUACUGGGCGUAAAGCGUGCGCAGGCGGUUGGGUAAGACAGGUGUGAAAUCCCCGAGCUUAACUUGGGAACUGCACUUGUGACUGCUCAACUAGAGUAUGUCAGAGGGAGGUGGAAUUCCAAGUGUAGCAGUGAAAUGCGUAGAUAUUUGGAAGAACACCGAUGGCGAAGGCAGCCUCCUGGGAUAAUACUGACGCUCAUGCACGAAAGCGUGGGGAGCAAACAGG
rnacentral:rRNA from 1 species